AGGGAUGGGCCAUUGCUGAGUGGUAGGGCGUCUGCUUUUCAUGCAGAAGGUUCCCGCUUCAAUCCCUGGCAUUUCUG